UAGUCCCUAAGAUUGUAACCAGUUUGCAUAUUAGUCCCUGACUUAAAUUUUAAUUCAAAAUAGUCCCUAACUUUACCUCCGUUAUGCAAAUAAGUCCCUACUGUUAAAAUCUAAUUUCCUCCGUUAAUCAAAUGUCUAUUUGGCAAACCUCAGUCCACGUAAGCAUCCCAAUGUGGCAUGUUUGAGUCCAAGUCAGCAAUCCUAUGUGGCAAGGCAAGGACUGAAUUGAAAAAUUAGGUUAAAAAGAAAUCAAAAAUGAAGUAAACGCAUUUUCCCUUUCACUGUCUUACUGCUUGUAGGGUUUUUUAACUGUUUGCAGUUUGCUCUUCCCUCCCCUGCAUUCUCUUUGUCGGUGAUUGUGAGUGUUCGCGCUUGGCAAUCAAGUUGGUGGUUUUUUUGCAUUCAUUUUGUUUGCAUUGUUUUGGUGGUUUCAUUUGGGGUUUUAUAUGUUCAAGGGGUUUCAUUUGCAUUGUCUUCGCUCUUCGUAGGGAGGUUUAUGGUCUUUUAUUAUUUUCGUUUAUGAUGCUUUGUUUUUAUAGAUGACAUUGUAUGUUGUUGUGUGAUGUGCCUAUGUUUGAGUUUGAGUUAGGUUUUUUAUUUCCUAAUAUAUGACAAUGUUUGUGGUUUCUGAUUGUGUAGAAUGAAUGACAAUAUAACUUUAAUAUUGCACCAUGGAGGAAGAUUCACUCCACGUGCCAGUGAUGGAAAGGUUGAAAAUAUAGGCGGAGAAUUUGACGUUUGGGAGGAUAUAUCUGCAGAUUGCCUGAAUGCAUUUAUCUUAUAUGAUCUGGUGAAAGCUUGUAAGAAGAAUAACAAUAUAGGAGAAUGUUUUUGGUUGAUUGAUAAGGACUAGAUUUUAAUCAUAGGUUAAGGAGUUGUACAACUGAUGGAGAUAUAUUACACUUAGUUAGGGAUGCUUUUGAAAAUGAGAAUGAGAUAAAUGUUUAUUUUCAUCAUGAAGUAGAUCCAAUUUUAGAAGAAGUCCCACAGAUGUUGUACUUGGAAUGUGAUCCAAUUCCAGAAGCUGUUGAGAAUGAGGAUGAUUUAGAUGAUGUACCUGUUGUUGGCCAUGAGGAAGCUAAGUUUUAAUUCAUUUGUACUUGGUCCGACAUGGUUACUAUAAUUAAUUAAUAUGAUUAAUUUUUACUUGAUCACCAUUGAUGCAGAUGUUGGUGCUGGUGAGCAUGUUGGUGCUGGAGAGCAGAGAGAUGGUGGUGAGCAGAGGGAUGCUGAUGCUAGUGAGCAGAGAGAUGGUGGUGAGCAGAGGGAUACUGAUGCUGGUGAGUAGAGGGAUGCUGGUGAGCAGAGAGAUGCUGGUGAGCGGAGGGAUGUUGAUGCUGGUGAGCAGAGAGAUGGUGGUGGUGAAGAGAGAGAUGUUGCUGAUAGUGAGGAGGAAAAGGAAGUUGACAAUGAUGAGUGGUUUACAAAUUUCUCUUGUAUGAUGAAUGAAGUUGAAGCUGAAGUUGAGACAGAUGGUUAUCAUUCAGAGGAGCUUAAUAUCCCCAUUAGUAGUGAUGAUGAAGAUGAGGAUGUUGAAGUUUAUCCUCAAUAUAGUCAAAGUAGUGGAGUUGGUGAACAGAAGUUGGAAUUAGGGAUGAAGUUUGGUACUCUAUAUGAAUUUAAAUCUGCCUUGAGGGAGUAUAGCAUAUUGAUGGGCAGGGAGUUCAAGUGGAAGAAGAAUGAUAAACAGAGGGCUAGAGCAAAAUGCAAGAAGACAUUUUGUGAUUGGGAAAUCUACUGUGCAAAGAAUGAAGUUAGAAACUCUUUUCAGAUAAAGACAUUUAAGCAUAACCAUAAUUGCUGCAGAGAAGUGAACAACAAACAAGCAAAUAGACAGUGGGUGGUCAGUAAACUUGAGGGCAAACUCAGAAUGUAGCCAACCCUUAAAUGUGUUGAAGCUUUGGAAUAUUUCAAGCAAGAGUUUGGAGUGCACAUUGAAGUUACAAAGAUAUGGAGAGCCAUGAAAGAAGCAAAGCAACUAGUGGAAGGGAAUGAGAGGAAACAAUAUGCCAUAGUAUUUGAUUAUGCACAUGAAUUGUUGAGGAGCAAUCCUGGAUCAACAGUUAAGAUCAACACAGUGCCAAGUCCAGAAGGUCCACCACAAUUUCAGAGGCUAUAUAUUUGUCUUGCUGGCGGUAAAAAGAGGUUUGUUGCUGGAUGUAGACUAUGCAUAGGUCUAGACGGAUGUUUCCUAAAAAGUGCAUUUGAAGGAAACUUGCUCUCUGCUGUUGGGCUUGAUGGCAAUAACCACAUCUUUGUUAUUGCUUAUGUUGUUGUGGACAUUGAGAACAAAGACAAUUGAAAAUGGUUUUUAACUUUGUUGCACGAAGAUCUUGGGGAUUACAUACAUAAUGGGUGGAAUUUCAUGUCGGACAUGCAAAAGGUACUUAUUUCAGCUUUACAGGAAGUCAUGUCUGGUGCACCUCAUAGAUUCUGUGUCUUGCAUCUUUGGAAAAAUUUUACAAAGCAAUGGAAAAGCAAGGAACUUAAAGGAAUUGUGUGGCAAUGUGCAAAAUCCACUAGUGUUGCUGAGUUUGAAGGCCAUAUGGCCCAUUUGAAUACAAUCAACUACCAGGCUUGUGAGUAUUUGAAUAAAUGGCGCAAACAAGCAUGGACAAAAGCCCACUUCAGUACAAUAUCCAAGGUGGACAAUAUAUGCAACAACACUUGUGAGGUAUUCAAUUCCAGAAUUCUGCAUUACAGAUGCAAGCCUAUUAUCACAAUGCUUGAAGAAAUUAGAAGUUAUAUCAUGAGAACCAUGGCUGCCCGCAAGGUUAAACUUUCUGGAAAGCCUGGACCAUUAUGUCCAGUGAAGUAUAAAAGACUAGAAAAAGAAAUUCAUUUUGAUCAAUGGACUCCCAUUUGGUGUGGUGAUAACAUGGGCCUGAGGUAUGAGGUCCACAUGUGAGGGAAUAAGGUUGAGGUCAAUUUAGCUGAAUGCACAUGCACUUGUGGAGUAUGACAACUAACAGGGAUGCCAUGCCGACAUGUCAUUGCAACAAUAAUUCACAAAGGAGGGAAGCCUGAGGACAUGUGUGUCAUGAGUGGCUGUCAAUAGAAGCUUAUAAUAAGACAUACCAGCAUUUUAUUGAACCAGUCCAAGGACCACAAUAUUGGGGCCCAGACGCAGUAUACACACCCUGUUCCACCACAUAAAAGGGUCCAGAGAGGAAGGCCAAAGAAAAAUAGAAGGAGAUCUGUAGAUGAGGACAAUGUCACAGGACAUAGGCUAAAGAGGAAAUUGGUUGAGUUUACAUGUGGAAGGUGUGGCCAAACCAAUCAUAACAUUAGAAGCUGUAAAAACAUUGGAGUUCCUGUUAGGCCAAAGAAAUAUGUUGCACCAUCAACUUCAAAUGAGGAUGACCACCUAUUAUCUCAAGAUGAACAAGCUUUGAAUGAGGGUGAAGAAGCUGCUGCUCAUGUUCAACAAGAUCCGAUGGAGAUUAAUUUAUCUCAACCUCAUUUGUCACAAGAUAGUGACAUGGAGUUGAUGGUCCCUGCAACUAUUGUUCCACCAAUAGCAAGGAAUAAGCUAACCAUAACAAGAGCAAAACAAAGAAAGGUUACUGAUAAAGAUGAUGCAGUAUAAAGAAAACUGAAUAUCCAUUUUUUGUUGCAUUUUGAAGGUUGUCGAGUUUGAAGGUUGCUGAUGAAGAAAACUGAAGAAGCAUUUUUUGUUGCAUUUUGAUAUUAGGAUGUGUAGUUGUAUAUUUUGAAAGCUUCACUGGCAUGUGAAAUGAUGUAAACAUUAUGGCCUACUGAACAAUUGCUUCUAACUACCAUGCUUUGGGAUGUCAAACAUUAUGUGAAAUUGAUUUAAUGUCAUGUUUCUUCUCUUUCUUUUAUAAAUUAUACACUGU